rnacentral:rRNA from 1 species
UACGUAGGGGGCAAGCGUUGUCCGGAAUCAUUGGGCGUAAAGAGCGUGUAGGCGGCCAGAUAAGUCCGCUGUGAAAUCUCGAGGCUCAACUUCGAGCUGUCGGUGGAAACUGUCUGGCUAGAGUCCGGAAGAGGAGAAUGGAAUUCCUGGUGUAGCGGUGAAAUGCGCAGAUAUCAGGAAGAACACCGGUGGCGAAGGCGGUGAUCUGGGCCAGUACUGACGCUGAGGAGCGAAAGCGUGGGGAGCGAACAGG